rnacentral:piRNA from 1 species
UAGGGAUUUCUGAUAGUAUCAUUCUGACCC